UAAUCAAACACCUUGCUGUUCAUCUUAUAAUAAGAAUGUGGAUAAAGGUGGAGCAAUCUGGAGUUGACCGGCAGAUGAGUAUUCUGCUGCCUGGCAUCGCAUUAACGGGAGGUCAGUAUGCAAGAGACGGAAUGUUCUUUCGGAAUCGAGAUGUCUUUGAAGGAAGAGAUGGUUAUCAUCAGCAUUAGAUGCUCCAUCUGACGCCCACCUACAAUGGCGCGGCUGCCCAUGUCGCCUGGCGGUAGGUUAGGAAGCAGCAGCAGCAGUCAUAUAAUUUGAUGGUGCCCUCCUCACUUUCCUAAUCGUCAUCAAACAAUUCAGCACCACUUGUCUCAGUCCUUUGGGGAAGCAGAUGAAGUGAAAGAGACAGACAUGCAUGUAGUCAUCUUUUUGACCAGUAAGUAGUGAUCCAUACACACACUAUUUUUGCCUAAAAAUACUAUAUAUAUAUAUAUAUAUAUAUAUAUAUAUCCACCGGCAUCAGCUUCUGGCCGCCGAUCAGGUCGCAGAAGGCCUACAAGAAGGCGGCUCGGCAGCAGAGUCGGUGGCGAUUCCGCAGACACAUAUUUGAGGAAACGUCUCAGAGAAAAUCUCUGCAAAGAUGAGCAGCAGACUCGUCCACCACAGCAGCAGCAGGAAAAAGGAGGAGGGGUUAGCCCUUCGUCUCCAUCGUCGGCCUCCAAGUCCGUGAGGGGGACCAGCAGCCUCCAAUUGCAACAGCGGCCGUCGAGCGUCCUGCCUCCGGCUGCAAUGUGGGCGGUUGCCCCAAAUAACGGAGCUGGGCUCCGUUCUGGAUGCUCCCCGUCACGGCAGGAUCAGCGGGCCCAAGCACCACUACAGUUCAUGCCACAGCCAACGAGCGGCCUGGUGGCGCAGCAUCCUGGGCUGAGCACGUCGGAGACUAAUCGGCGGAUGCUCGCGGCAUUCAAUGCUUAUCGUAGAGGUGGUGGCCGGAGCAUGAAUUCUGAGCACCACCAGCCGAUGAAUCACCAUCACCUAGUCCAACCCCCUACCUGUCAUCAACAAGGUGCAGACAGCAGAGAAGACCACCAAACCAGCUCAGAGUUUGCAGUGUCAAAAGAAGAUUAUCUGUUCAGGAACGAAUAUUUCAGCUUGUCAAUGAAUCUCUUCUUGGUUCUUUUCCUUCUGUGCAUCCAAGUGGUUCCACCUUCUCAUCCCUGCAUUCAUAUGGUGUAUCUUCUUUUCUAUGUUCACGUUCAUGAGGGUCUCCAUCUCCAAUGAUUGCAGUAUUCUGAGGCACCCGAUUGGAUAUAAUCCUAUUGCAUGGAGAUUAAUGACAAGAAUUAUGUACACUAAGUUCAAAUUGGCUUCAAAAAUCAAAACAAUGCUAUUAGUGAUUUGAUUGAUAAACCAAGAAAGAUACACAUAUAGAAAGAUGUUGCAAUGUUGUAAUUUCAUGUUCAUUGGCUUGGACUAAUGUAGAAUCUUCAUUCUUGCUGAGAACUUGGUAUUUUACAUUGUAGUUAUUAAAAGCUUGCAGAUAUAUUGGUUUCUUUCUUAUUUAUAUUGUAAUAAUAUUAGUGUUCAAUUAUAGAAUUCAUUUAUACAAUACUCGGUUCUUCAUUUGAGUUUUCUUAAGAUCUUAAACUUUUGGAACUGUUGGUAACUAAUCAAUCAGACAUUUAUCAGCAGCAUUGGCAGUGUCUGAAAUCUAAGUUAUAGAAAGGAUGUUUAGGUUUGUCAUGUGAAGCUGUUCUGUGAUGAUGAAGAACAUUUACCAAAAGAAACAGCACUGCUGGAUGGAUAAUAAUCUUCUUCCUGGAAGAUUAUUAUAAUGUGGACAGAGUUAUGUUAGGUUAUAUGCAAUGAAAGAAAAAAUAUUAUCUUUUUCUUUAUUAUAGAAGAUUUCAGUAUGAUUAAGGGUUCAUAUUACCUAUUCCUUAGAAAUAAUAGGCAGUAAACGUUGGAAUCAUCACCUACAAAUGUUUCAGAAGGGACUGCCUCCCUGUUCUAAUAAGAGAUAAUAACUGUUGUUGUUCUUCCGAGAAAUUAAGCAGUCAGAUGAGAGAUUGAUGUUAUUCUACUGAUGAAUCUGCUUGUCUAAACUCUUUGCAGAUGAAUCUGCAAGGACGACUACCGUGCACCAGAUGAUUGCAUUCUCUAAAUUCUUUCUUCUGUUUCGUUUCUGAAGUCGGAGGACCAAAAGAUUACAAUUCAUUGGAGGCAGCAAGUACUAACAAAUCCACUGCUAGAGCAAUUCAGAAGAGGUAUUGAAGUUCCUCAGUGGUUGCUGUGGUCAAGCAAGAAGAUAAACAACAAAGCAUGCAGAGAACUUUCAGCCUGUAAAAUCUCUCCCUCUUCCCUUUCCUCCUUCCAUCUUCCAUCUCUUAUUUCCUUCCUAGUGGCAACCAUGAGUGGCUGCUCAAGGAAAUUGCUGUAGUGCCUCCUCAUUCUCUAUCUUGUCCUUUAUGUACAGUUCAAAAGUCCUCAUCAUGUGACGCAGCUUUUCUAAUACCAACCACUAACUCAGGCUUAAGUUCCUUCUAAUUAACAUGAAAAGGUUUUUUUGCUCCAAAGGCAGAUUGUGGCAGUAGAAUCCAUGGAUGACACCUUCACAAAUGGAAAUGAAGAUGUGGCUGCUCUAGAUGGCAUCGGUCGCAGUUCCAAGACCAGUAUGCAAACCUUCACUAUCUGUUUGUACAUGUGCGACCAAGACCAGUACGCAAACCUUCACUAUCUGUUUGUAUAUGAUCAGUGAUUCUAAUGUAAAAUCCCAAUACUGACACAAAACUGAGGAUCUUGCCUAGAACAGAUGCAUGCUAUAGAGGCCAUGUCUGCAAUUAAUGCAAAGAUAAUAAGAACAAAGAAGGCGUAACAAUGGCACAGUUCAAGUAGCACUUCUUCAUAGUAGUGCUGGCUUGAAUUCUAAGUGAAAGAUUAGGAUGAAGAAGUAAAUUGUAGGACAAAAGCAGUCUGCCUGCAUAAGUUUUAUGCCACACUGAGGAAACAUGGGUUUGGUGAUGAAGAUCUUUCAACCCAAAAACCUUGGCUGGAAAUGAGGGUUGGGAAUGCACAUGCCUGUGCUGUGAUACACUCAUGCAUGAGGAGGCAGAGGUUGGUGGAGCUUUACAAUAUAAUUGAGACCCAUAUCAGUCGGAUUGGUUGGUGCGGUACCAAGUUUUUGGUUGAUUCCUCAUCUGGUAGGUUUCCACAAUGAAUGCCUUCUUUGUGUCUGGCCUAUGAUUGCAGCACUCGGUUUCAGAAAACAGAUGAAGUUGGUGGAUGCAUUCUACAUAGUCACAUGUAACUCAAACACAGAGAAUUGAACCCCUGGUGCAUCUGGUAACCUGUCAACACUUGCAUCAAACUGUGGCUGAUCCAAGGAACAAUGUUUUUGUACAUCAGCAGGAUCAUUUAUUUCCCAGUGUUAGCUUCUUGUCAUGGAUUGUUCUACCUUAUCAACCUCAUUAGCCUGCCUUCAAUAUAAGGUUGAGUUUGUGCAGGGGAAGCAAUCUGAAAGAUUCAUCAUGAGGGUCCUAAAUCAGAUGUGGCAGCAACCAUCAGCUUAAGUCCAAAUCUUUUUCAUGGAAAUCAAAAGCAAUCUCUUAUUUAUGCAUGCACCCACCUGGUGUACAGUAACUGAGGAGAAAAUUUUGGUUGAGACCUUGUGUCAUCAGCUGGUCUUCCCACAACAAUUAUUUGCUGCUACAAUGACCAGUGCAGUGACAGUCAAGAUAUUCUAGUUGUCCUUGGAAUGUGGGUAUAUAUUCCAUAAGCAGUCAACAACACAAACCAACCACAGUGAUUAGGUGAGGUAGAACCAAAGCCCCAAUAGUCCUCUCCUCUCUCUAGAAGCCCUCCAACCCCCAGCCUUCAUUGUGAUGAAUAAGGCAUGAUCCAUUUGGAUUGAGACCAUUGGGGAUGGUUCCAUCAACUGGCAUUCCUUUCCCAUCUUUCCUUUUUUCUUUUAGUCCUACAGAUUGAGAAGCUGGUGAAUGAGUCAAGAAAAGGUGGCUAAGCUCUGGAAGGAAGUAAAGAAACUUCUGGUGCCCUUCCCUUCCUCUCUUAAGCUUAUUAGGAAGGUCAUGAAUGAGCCACUUGGUUCAGAGUAAAAGCUGUCAUCUUUUGAAUCUUGUAGGGUCACAUGUGCCAACUUUUCUUGUUUCCUUGAAGCUGGAUCACAGUCCAAUUGAUGGAUGGAUAUCUGCAGGGAGACUGGAAGAGUGUACUGGUGCAGAUGGGCAUUGAGUGAGUGCAAGUACACAACCUGCUGCUGGAGUCAAGACUCUGGAACAUCUCAACAUAUCUCUCAUUACUUCCCUAACCUGUUGAUUGUUCUUGUCACCCCAUCUUUCUUCUCUUCUAACUUUCUAAGAUGCUUGAUUGCCUGGCCAGUAUGCAACAGUGACUGGUAGGUGAAAAGUAUAAUAAUGACCAUGACAUUGUGUUUCUGCCCCUGCUUAUUUCUAGAGAGACAAAAUAGACAUUGUUUCCAUGUGUGUACUGCAUGCAACAGGUGUAAUCUAUGAUGAAAUCAUGAGGAUGAUUUACACA